CAGUCAGCUAAUGGAUGGAUCACAGG
rnacentral:piRNA from 1 species